rnacentral:rRNA from 1 species
GAUGAACGCUGGCGGCGUGCCUAAUACAUGCAAGUCGAGCGAACAGAUGAGGAGCUUGCUCCUCUGACGUUAGCGGCGGACGGGUGAGUAACACGUGGAUAACCUACCUAUAAGACUGGGAUAACUUCGGGAAACCGGAGCUAAUACCGGAUAAUAUAUUGAACCGCAUGGUUCAAUAGUGAAAGACGGUUUUGCUGUCACUUAUAGAUGGAUCCGCGCCGCAUUAGCUAGUUGGUAAGGUAACGGCUUACCAAGGCAACGAUGCGUAGCCGACCUGAGAGGGUGAUCGGCCACACUGGAACUGAGACACGGUCCAGACUCCUACGGGAGGCAGCAGUAGGGAAUCUUCCGCAAUGGGCGCAAGCCUGACGGAGCAACGCCGCGUGAGUGAUGAAGGUCUUCGGAUCGUAAAACUCUGUUAUUAGGGAAGAACAAAUGUGUAAGUAACUAUGCACGUCUUGACGGUACCUAAUCAGAAAGCCACGGCUAACUACGUG